CCUACGGGUGGCAGCAGUGGGGAAUAUUGCACAAUGGGGGAAACCCUGAUGCAGCGACGCCGCGUGAGUGAAGAAGUAUUUCGGUACGUAAAGCUCUAUCAGCAGGGAAGAAAAUGACGGUACCUGACUAAGAAGCCCCGGCUAACUACGUGCCAGCAGCCGCGGUAAUACGUAGGGGGCAAGCGUUAUCCGGAUUUACUGGGGGUAAAGGGAGCGUAGACGGCAGCGCAAGUCUGGAGUGAAAUCCCAUGGCUUAACCAUGGAACUGCUUUGGAAACUGUUCAGCUAGAGUGCAGGAGAGGUAAGCGGAAUUCCUAGUGUAGCGGUGAAAUGCGUAGAUAUUAGGAGGAACACCAGUGGCGAAGGCGGCUUACUGGACUGUAACUGACGUUGAGGCUCGAAAGCGUGGGGAGCAAACAGGAUUAGAUACCCCAGUAGUC
rnacentral:rRNA from 1 species